CGGACGGGUGAGUAAUGUCUGGGAAACUGCCCGAUGGAGGGGGAUAACUACUGGAAACGGUAGCUAAUACCGCAUAACGUCGCAAGACCAAAGAGGGGGACCUUCGGGCCUCUUGCCAUCGGAUGCGCCCAGAUGGGAUUAGCUAGUAGGUGGGGUAACGGCUCACCUAGGCGACGAUCCCUAGCUGGUCUGAGAGGAUGACCAGCCACACUGGAACUGAGACACGGUCCAG
rnacentral:rRNA from 1 species